rnacentral:rRNA from 1 species
GAUGAACGCUGGCGGCGUGCCUAAUACAUGCAAGUCGAGCGAACGGACGAGAAGCUUGCUUUUCUGAUGUUAGCGGCGGACGGGUGAGUAACACGUGGAUAACCUACCUAUAAGACUGGGAUAACUUCGGGAAACCGGAGCUAAUACCGGAUAAUAUUUUGAACCGCAUGGUUCAAAAGUGAAAGACGGUCUUGCUGUCACUUAUAGAUGGAUCCGCGCUGCAUUAGCUAGUUGGUAAGGUAACGGCUUACCAAGGCAACGAUGCAUAGCCGACCUGAGAGGGUGACCGGCCACACUGGAACUGAGCCACGGUCCAGACUCCUACGGGAGGCAGCAGUAGGGAAUCUUCCGCAAUGGGCGAAAGCCUGACGGAGCAACGCCGCGUGAGUGAUGAAGGUCUUCGGAUCGUAAAACUCUGUUAUUAGGGAAGAACAUAUGUGUAAGUAACUGUGCACAUCUUGACGGUACCUAAUCAGAAAGCCACGGCUAACUACGUG